rnacentral:rRNA from 1 species
GACGGAGGGUGCAAGCGUUGUUCGGAUUGACUGGGCGUAAAGGGCGUGUAGGCGGUCGGUCAAGUCUGGUGUGAAAGCCCGGGGCUCAGCUCCGGAAGUGCAUCGGAAACUAGCUGGCUGGAGCGCGAUAGAGGAGGGCGGAAUUCCUGGUGUAGCGGUGAAAUGCGUAGAUAUCAGGAGGAACACCGGCGGCGAAGGCGGUUCUCUGGGCCUGUACUGACGCUGAGGAGCGAAAGCGUGGGGAGCGAACAGG